CUUGCUGUUUGUUUAUUUAUUUAUUUAUUUGAGAUGGAGUUUCGCUCUUGUUGCCCAGGCUGGAGUACAGCAGCAUGAUCUUGGCUCACCGCAACCUCCGCCUCCGAGGUUCAAGCGAUUCUCCUGCCUCAGGCUCCCAAGCAGUUGGGAUUACAGACACCCACCACCAUGCCCGGCUAAUUUUGUAUUUUUAGUAGAGAUGGGGUUUCUCCAUGUUGGUCAGGCUGGUCUCGAACUCCUAACCUCAGGUGAUCUGCUGACCUCGGCCUCCCAAAGUGGUAAGAUUACAGGCGUGAGCCACCGUGACCGGCCCUUGCUGUUCCUUUAAAAGCUUAACCCUUUCUAUUCUCUCCUUUGUAAACUGGGCCCAAAUCCUUGGUUGCCCAUGAGAUGAGAGCCCUGGCAGGCGGCAGUCCUGGUUCAAGUUCUGGCUUAGCCACGUCCCAGUUGUGUGCACCUGCAUUCUCACGGGUAAAACAGGGACAAGGGUAGUAUCUACUGCCCGGGGUGCUGGUGGGUUACAUGACAUUGCACGAGUUGAAAGAGCUUAGGGCCAGGCGGGGCACAAGGCAGAUACCCCAUCAGUGGGGUUGUUAUUUGAUUGUUAUUGCAUCUUUAUUCGGGCCCUGCAUUCUCCAAAACGAGGGUGCGGAUCCAGGAUCAGAGGAUGAGGAGUGUUCGUCUUCCCUUCGGGACCCUGCAAUGACUCAGACACAGUUCCUGUUCUUACAGGUCCCCAGGAGCAGGCCCUGGAACUGCUACCCACAAGCUAAAAAGAGCACGAAGCUGCUCAGGAAAAGGACCCAUGGCUGCUGCUUCUGGCGGGGCCAGGUCACGGGGAGCUUUGGACAACAGAACGAGCCACUUCUGCCCUGGGCAAACCACCCCUGUGCCCCAUCUGCAGCUCAUCGCCACUGGGACUGACACAGGCAUACAGCAG
rnacentral:lncRNA from 10 species